rnacentral:rRNA from 1 species
CAGUUGGGAAUUUUGCACAAUGGACGAAAGUCUGAUGCAGCGACGCCGCGUGGGGGAUGAAGGUUUUCGGAUUGUAAACCCCUUUUGCGAGGGAAUAAUUUGUGAAGGUACCUCGCGAAUAAGCACCGGCUAACUCCGUGCCAGCAGCCGCGGUAAUACGGAGGGUGCAAACGUUGUCCGGAAUCACUGGGCGUAAAGCGCAUGUAGGUGGUUUAGUAAGUGAGCGAUUAAAGACCGACGCCUAACGUCGGGAAGGUUGCUCAUACUGCUAAACUGGAGUAUGGCAGGGGUAAGCGGAACUUUAGGUGUAGGAGUGAAAUCCGUAGAUAUCUAAAGGAACACCAAUGGCGAAGGCAGCUUACUGGGCCAUUACUGACACUGAGAUGCGAAAGUGUGGGGAGCAAACGGGAUUAGA